UCUUCCGCCGUCUUCUUCUUCUCCUUCUCCUCCUUCUUCUUCAUGCCAUAACCAGCUUUGCAGAGAAGGUCCAGGAGCUGUAGCAGGGGUGGUAACCGCCGGAGCUUUCUUUUUAGCUCUAUUUGCCGGUGCUUUAAUCUGGGUUUACUCUAAAAAGUUCAAACAUGAGAACAAAUUAGGCCAAUCUUUUGCAUCGGAGAUAAUCAAAUCGCCAAAAGAAUUCACUUACAAAGAGCUUAAAGCCGCCACGAGAUGCUUCGAUGCCAAUAGAAUCAUCGGCCAUGGUGCUUUUGGGACUGUUUAUAAAGGUAUUUUGCCGGAAAAUGGCGACAUUGUAGCUGUCAAAAGAUGUAGUCAUAACAGUCAAGGGAAGAACGAGUUUUUGGCUGAGUUAUUAAUAAUCGGAACUCUAAGGCAUCGAAAUCUUGUAAGAUUACAAGGAUGGUGCCAUGAAAAAGGAGAGAUUUUAUUAGUUUAUGAUUUAAUGCCUAAAGGGAGUCUUGAUAAAGCUUUGUUUGAAGCCAAAACGCCAUUGCCAUGGCCUGAAAGGCAAAAAAUUUUAUUAGGGGUGGCCUCAGCAUUAGCCUAUUUACAUCAAGAAUGUGAUCGGCAAGUUAUUCAUAGAGAUGUUAAAACCAGCAACAUAAUGUUGGAUGAAGCUUACAAUGCCAAGCUCGGAGAUUUCGGUUUAGCUCGGCAAGUUGAACACGAUAAGUCCCCGGAUGCAACGGUAGCCGCCGGCACGAUGGGGUAUUUAGCUCCCGAAUACCUUCUAACAGGACGAGCGACGGAUAAAACCGACG
rnacentral:lncRNA from 1 species